rnacentral:rRNA from 1 species
CCUACGGGAGGCUGCAGUGAGGAAUAUUGGUCAAUGGGCGGAAGCCUGAACCAGCCAAGUAGCGUGCGGGAUGAAGGCCCUACGGGUCGUAAACCGCUUUUGCACGGGGAUAACACCCUCCACUUGUGGAGGUCUGCAGGUACCGUGCGAAUAAGGGCCGGCUAAUUCCGUGCCAGCAGCCGCGGUAAUACGGAAGGCCCGAGCGUUAUCCGGAUUCAUUGGGCUUAAAGGGAGCGUAGGCGGGCGUUCAAGUCAGCUGUAAAAGCGCGCGGCUCAACCGCGCCCCGCAGUUGAAACUGGACGCCUUGAGUUCACGACAGGCAGGCGGAAUUCGUGGUGUAGCGGUGAAAUGCAUAGAUAUCGCGAGGAACCCCGAUUGCGAAGGCAGCCUGCCGGGGUGCGACUGACGCUGAGGCUCGAAGGUGCGGGUAUCAAACAGGAUUAGAUACCCUGGUAGUC